UACGGAGGGUGCGAGCGUUGUCCGGAAUCACUGGGCGUAAAGGGCGCGUAGGCGGCGCGGAUAGUCGGCGGUGAAAGCCCGGAGCUCAACUCCGGGUCGGCCGUCGAUACUUCCGGGCUUGAGCACUGUAGAGGCAGAUGGAAUUCCGGGUGUAGCGGUGGAAUGCGUAGAGAUCCGGAAGAACACCGGUGGCGAAGGCGGUCUGCUGGGCAGUUGCUGACGCUGAUGCGCGACAGCGUGGGGAGCAAAGAGG
rnacentral:rRNA from 1 species